rnacentral:rRNA from 1 species
GAUGAACGCUGGCGGCGCGCCUAAUACAUGCCGGUCGAGCGAACGGACGAGAAGCUUGCUUCUCUGAUGUUAGCGGCGGACGGGUGAGUAACACGUGGAUAACCUACCUAUAAGACUGGGAUAACUUCGGGAAACCGGAGCUAAUACCGGAUGAUAUUUUGAACCGCAUGGUUCAAAAGUGAAAGACGGUCUUGCUGUCACUUAUAGAUGGAUCCGCGCUGCAUUAGCUAGUUGGUAAGGUAACGGCUUACCAAGGCAACGAUGCAUAGCCGACCUGAGAGGGUGAUCGGCCACACUGGAACUGAGACACGGUCCAGACUCCUACGGGAGGCAGCAGUAGGGAAUCUUCCGCAAUGGGCGAAAGCCUGACGGAGCAACGCCGCGUGAGUGAUGAAGGUCUUCGGAUCGUAAAACUCUGUUAUUAGGGAAGAACAUAUGUGUAAGUAACUGUGCACAUCUUGACGGUACCUAAUCAGAAAGCCACGGCUAACUACGUG